rnacentral:lncRNA from 1 species
GGAACACUUCCGGUUGCUGAAAGUAGAAGACUCCCACUUCUACUUUCAACCUUAGCAACCACAGAGAAAUGUAUUAAAUGUAGUUUACUGAGUUCAUGAAUUUCAGGCUGGUGGCCCCUUCUAUCCUCUGUAUACUGGAAAGAGAGACAUCACCCUUUCUUUCUGUGACCUUGCAACUUAUGAACUUCCUUCUCCAGAAGAUAACUUACGGCAGACGCUUGCAUCAUUUGCAUCCUUUGCAUCAAGGGCAUUUGAUGAAAUAGAAGCUGUUAGCCUCUUCGUAUUCAUCCUUCUUGUGCUCUUCUGUACUGGUUAUGACUGUUUCGUUGGCUCGGUUUUAUGUUUUCAUAUAUCUGCCUUAGCUAAAUUUUCUUUGCUUUGUAAGACGUACGUCUGCUUAGGAAAUGGUAUUUUCUUGUCAUAGUGUGGUCGUUUCCCUUCUUUGUUUUUGAAAGGAAUAGCUGCAUCUCUAAGUAAGAGAUAUCAAGUCUUUGUUUCAUCUAUCUGUC